AUGAACGCUGGCGGCGUGCCUAAUCCAUGCAAGUCGAGCGAACAGACGAGGAGCUUGCUCCUCUGACGUUAGCGGCGGACGGGUGAGUAACACGUGGAUAACCUACCUAUAAGACUGGGAUAACUUCGGGAAACCGGAGCUAAUACCGGAUAAUAUAUUGAACCGCAUGGUUCAAUAGUGAAAGACGGUUUUGCUGUCACUUAUAGAUGGAUCCGCGCCGCAUUAGCUAGUUGGUAAGGUAACGGCUUACCAAGGCAACGAUGCGUAGCCGACCUGAGAGGGUGAUCGGCCACACUGGAACUGAGACACGGUCCAGACUCCUACGGGAGGCAGCAGUAGGGAAUCUUCCGCAAUGGGCGAAAGCCUGACGGAGCAACGCCGCGUGAGUGAUGAAGGUCUUCGGAUCGUAAAACUCUGUUAUUAGAGAAGAACAAAUGUGUAAGUAACUAUGCACGUCUUGACGGUACCUAAUCAGAAAGCCACGGCUAACUACGUG
rnacentral:rRNA from 1 species